AAUAAAAAUUAUGAAAGCAAAAAAUUAUGGCGGUAUUUUAAGCUUUUCAGAGGAAUUUGCUCUUUAAUGGAUAAAACACCAAAAUCUUACUUAAAUUUGUUACUUCAAUUUGUAUACCACUAUAAAAACAAUUCAUAACUUUAAUUGUUUAAAUUUAUUAAAUUAAAAUAUAUUAAGUCAAGGUGCAGUAAAAAUUUAAGAAUGAAGUGAAUUACAUUACUUUUUAGUGAAAAAAAAAUUAUAAUGACACUUAGGAUUUGAAAGUAAAUUUGAAAUAGGAUG
rnacentral:rRNA from 1 species